AUGCUGGGGUACUCCCAUGGCUCUGCUCUUUUCCUGUGGGCAGAGUUAACAGGACAUGGAGAUCAGAUCAGGAUGUGGAGAUCAGUUGGAAAGCUAAAAAAAAAUGCAGAUGAACUCAAGGUGAUUUGUCCAUUGUGUAUGUUUCCUGGAACAUUGAAGAAAUGAGAAGGAAGCUUCUUAAGUGUGUGCUGAGUUCUCCUAUGGAGGAGGAAAGAGGUGUCUUUCCGAAAAGUUCUGCUCAGUGGAUACCAGAUCUGUCCCCCAGCCGCUCUAAGACGUGCUCAUAAAGGAAUGUGAAGAACUACAGUAGCAAGAAGCUCUCAACAAGGACCAGACAUACCUCCACAGAGCAUUGACAUAUUUCUACAUUUUCAAAAACUUGCUUAAAGGGGAAAAAGGUUAAUGUCUGAGUCCUGACAUCCUCUUAUUUUCCUUACCUUCCUUACUCCUGAACUUUUGGGGGAGUUUCAUACUCUGAAAAUGGCACAUUACAACUAAAAUACUUAUUUUAUAUUUUUCUGCAAACUUUUUGCUCCUGUUUUUCUUCUAUGAUUGUUUAGUAUGUUCCAAGCAUAAGAUGACUCCACCAACUGAAUGUUCACUCAGGGCUAACAUUUCAAUGGGUACAUCCCCUUGGAAGCCACGUAACUCUGGCCAGUGGUGGUAAAACAGUCAGUGUUCCCAUGUAACAGUGACUACUCUUUGAUGGUCUGGACUUUAUGACACCAUUCAUCUGAUCAAUAAAUAAUAGAACAGGUGUACUCCCUUUCA
rnacentral:lncRNA from 1 species